rnacentral:lncRNA from 1 species
AAAUAUGUUUGGUUAGGAUGUUAGUAUGAUGCAAUGAAUCAAUUUGAAAUGAUGUAAAAAUCUUAAGUAACGAAGUUAUGGCAAAAUUUACGAGAUUAGACGAUAAUCGUCGAAAUCAUGAAAUUCUCGGAAUGGAAGUCAAAAGUUAACAUUGAACUCGGAAACAUUGUUUUUCGAUGGAGAUUAGUCUCAAUUGGCAUUCUAGAGUUGUGAACUCAAAAAUGAUCAAAUUCUG